rnacentral:lncRNA from 1 species
UCAUUUUUACACAUUGUUAUUAGAGAGCAGUGUCCCAAACUGUGCAUAGAAGAAAUAUUCAGAAGAACUGUAAAUCUCUGUUUUCCCAAUGACAAAAAGGGCAAUUGUCCCAGAUCCUUCCUCCUCUAUCAAUCAUUUCAUUCAUUCAUUCACAGUCAUGUCUGGCAUUUGGUGGCUGGCAGCUGGGAUUUUAGAUGGGGCUGGAAACUGGUGUACUUAUACAUGGCCUCUCCACCUGGGAUUCCUUACAACAUGUUGGUUGGAGUUCAAGUGUGAGUUCCCAAGAGAGUAUCAGGUGGAAGCUGGUAUUGGAAAGCAUGGCCUUGGAAGUAUGCAGCAUCACUUUCACCUUACCCUGUUUGUCAAGGCAGUUACAAAGGCCCUGUCAGUCCAAGGGAGGAAGAAGUAGACUUGACUUUCUGAUGGAAAAAGUGGCAAGAUUCUGGAAAAGCACAGAGUUGGAAACAUCGUUGCAACCACUUUUGGAAUUGCAGUCUGUCAGAACUAGCAACAUGCAAGAUUAAUGUUAAUAAAAUAUUAUUUAUAAUUACAUCAUAAUCAAGUAGUAGUCAUGGAGAAAUUCUUGAAAGAUGUGCAAGACCUACAUGCUGAAAACAAGGCAUUUGGGAUCCUAGAGAACAAAAUUGAGGGACUUAUACUAUUUGAUUCCAGAUCUUUCUAUAGUACUAAUACUAAUCAAGACAAGUAGGUUAUUGAAAUAAUAGAGAGGUUUUUAAAGUAUAUCCAAGCACAUAUGGUUGGCUAAUUUUGACAGAGACACUAAGACUAUUCAAUAAGGAAGACAGUCUUUUCAAUAAGUGAUACUAUAACAACUUAAUAACCAUGUUGGGGUGGGGAGCUUUGACUCGCUAACCACAAAAAAAAUUCAAAAUGGAUCAUAAACUUACAAGUGAAAAAAAAAGCAACGUGCAAAUCUUCUGGAAGAAAGCAUUGAGAAUAUAUUUCACACAGGACGUAGAAAAAACACUAACCAUAAAAGAAAACAUUUAUAUAAUUGGACAUCAUCAAAAAAAAACUUAAGAGACCACCAAGAAAGUAGAUAGGUAAGCCACAGACUGAGAGAAGAUGUUCACAAUACAUUCAUCUGACAAAGGACCUAUAUUUAGAAUA